rnacentral:rRNA from 1 species
GACGAACGCUGGCGGCGUGCUUAACACAUGCAAGUCGAACGGAAAGGCCCUGCUUUUGUGGGGUGCUCGAGUGGCGAACGGGUGAGUAACACGUGAGUAACCUGCCCUUGACUUUGGGAUAACUUCAGGAAACUGGGGCUAAUACCGGAUAGGAGCUCCUGCUGCAUGGGGGGGGUGGGAAAGUUUCGGCGGUUGGGGAUGGACUCGCGGCUUAUCAGCUUGUUGGUGGGGUAGUGGCUUACCAAGGCUUUGACGGGUAGCCGGCCUGAGAGGGUGACCGGCCACAUUGGGACUGAGAUACGGCCCAGACUCCUACGGGAGGCAGCAGUGGGGAAUAUUGCACAAUGGGCGGAAGCCUGAUGCAGCAACGCCGCGUGCGGGAUGACGGCCUUCGGGUUGUAAACCGCUUUCGCCUGUGACGAAGCGCGAGUGACGGUAAUGGGUAAAGAAGCACCGGCUAACUACGUG